AGAGUUUGAUCCUGGCUCAGGAUGAACGCUAGCUACAGGCUUAACACAUGCAAGUCGAGGGGAAACGAUAUUGGAAGCUUGCUUCCGAUAGGCGUCGACCGGCGCACGGGUGAGUAACGCGUAUCCAACCUGCCCACCACUUGGGGAUAACCUUGCGAAAGUAAGACUAAUACCCCAAUGAUAUCUCUAGAAGACAUCUGAAAGAGAUUAAAGAUUUAUCGGUGAUGGAUGGGGGAUGCGUCUGAUUAGCUUGUUGGCGGGGUAACGGCCCACCAAGGCAACGAUCAGUAGGGGUUCUGAGAGGAAGGUCCCCCACAUUGGAACUGAGACACGGUCCAAACUCCUACGGGAGGCAAGCA
rnacentral:rRNA from 1 species